AGUAGUCAUAUGCUUGUCUCAAAGACUAAGGCAUGCAUGUCUAAGUAUAAGUAUUAUACAGCGAAACUGCGAAUGGCUCAUUAAAACAGUAUAGUUUAUUUGACAAUCUCAGUUAUAUGGAUACCCGUAGUAAUUCUAGAGCUAAUACAUGCUGUACUCCUAACUUUUGUGGAAGGGAGGUAUUUAUUAGAUAAUAACCAAUAUUCCGUAGGCUCUAUCGUGGUGAAUCAUAAUAACUGAUCGAAUCGCACAGCCUUUGGCUGCGAUAAGUCAUUCAAGUUUCCUGCCCCAUCAGCUUUAGAUGGUAGUGUAUUGGACUACCAUGGCGUUCACGGGUAACGGAGGAUUAGGGUUCGAUUCCGGAGAGGGAGCCUGAGAAACGGCUACCACAUCCAAGGAAGGCAGCAGCCGCGUAAAUUACCCAAAUCCUGACUCAGGGAGGUAGUGACAAGAAAUAACAAGCGGUGGCCUA
rnacentral:rRNA from 1 species